rnacentral:lncRNA from 1 species
GCCCGAAGUGAGUGAAAUCCCAGUCCUCGAUCCUUUUAGAGUAAACUCCAUCCUCACCCUCGAGAACUUAGAGAUUUUUAGAUUGAAAUACCAAGUCCCAAUCAAGUUCAGGCUAGAGGUCGCCGUUCCUAGGGAAUGGAUGGCUCUUCCUCGUCAGGGCCGAAUAAGUCUUUGUGAGGAAGCCCUGAAGGCUGAUUUUUCACUGUAUUUUCUCUUUUUAGUCGUAGAAUUUUUAAAUUUAUAUAGAAUAAGCUCCUAUAGCAUAGUGUCGAACUCCUAGUGUCAGAUUUUAGGCUUUUUCAUCCACUGCC